rfam:Cricetulus griseus cell line CHO-K1, whole genome shotgun sequence.
GGGGAGGUGGCUCAGAGGUUAAGAGCACUGACUGCUCUUCCAGAGGUCCUGAGUUCAAUUCCCAGCAACCACA